rnacentral:misc_RNA from 1 species
UAAGCAUUUCCAUUGAUUCCAUGCAUGGAUGAUUCAUUCAUAGGAUGGGUUAUGGUAUAAGAGUAUUUGUGUAGUUGGUGUGUGUUUGUUUCUUGCUUUUGUAAUUCUAUGCUAAUUUCCCAAUGACAUCUCUUUCUCUCUCUUUACUCUCUCUCUACCCCUCUCUCAAUUCUCUUGGGUCGUUUUGAGAACCCCUCCUUCUUCUUCACGCCGCCCCUAUCCCUGACUUUAUUACCAACAACACUUGCACUCUCUUUGCAUUCUCUCUAUAUUAUCAGAAUUAGGGAAAAAAGCCCUGAUCACCCUUUUAUGAAAUUUCUUUUCUUUCUUUUGCGUGCCUUUCUUCACUUUAACCAUGGCUUCAUGGCCUCUGUUAUACUGACUCCUUUGUCACUGCUUAUGGAUGGUUUCUUGUGAUUUAAAAUUUCUCUGCAUUGAAGUUCUUUUCUGUGGAUCUACAUUGGCUUGUAGACAUUGCUUUGUUUGCAGAAAAGGAAUUCUCAAAAACUUCACAAUUUAGAAAAUGGAAGUUGGAAGAACUGAAGUAGACUUUGAUGAGUUUGAGAAGCUUCUUGGAGAGAUACCAAAUGCUACUUCUGGGAAUCCACAUUCUGAGGAAGCUGCACCUAAAAGUGUGUCUCUAAAUGAUAGCUUGGCACCCAUUUGUGUGAAUUCCUUUAAAGGCCCUCUGAUUGAAAAACUCCAAAGCAGUGCAGGUUUGGAUGAAAGAAAACGAUUAAUUAAUAAAACUCAAGGAUCUCCUAUCAAUAGAGUUCAAUCGGAUGAAGCAAAUCUGCCUGAUGAUCAAUCCUUGACAUCUGCAUUUGCAGAUUUGAGCUUCAAUAGCGGUAGCAUCUCAGCAAAUUUUAAAUCCUCACUGAAUCAUGGUGUUCCAUUAGAUUGCAAACUCACAAAUAGCAUGAAGAAUUUGGUUCCCGGCAUAAAUUCAUCAGUGACAGGUGCUCCAUCUUUCCAAUCACCAAAUUCUAUGCCUUGUGAUUUUGAUGGGUUUAAUGUAACAAAAGUUGUCCAAGAAAGUUCCAAUUUGUUGAAGCUUAAUGCUCUAGAACCAAAACAGAUGCCAAUUGGUUAUUGUCAGCCCCAAACAAUUGAAAAUUUUUCCACUGCCUUGCCACUUGCUCAUGGGGUGCAAGGUUUUCAGUUCCUUUCCAAUGUGGCUGUUCCCGGUGUAGAGAUUCCUUUAAUUUCUGAUCAGCGACAAUACUUUGCGGAUAUGCAAUCUGUGCUUCCUUGCAUACAUUCACAACAGUUAAACCAGCCUCACAUCAGUUGGAGAAAUAUUGAAGAGGAGCAAUUUUAUAGGAUGCAUCAACAGUACCUGUAUCUGCAGCAAAUGCGUAAUCAACGGUUGGAAGCUCAGCAUCCUAUAAAAGGAAAUGGAAAUGUUGCAACAAAGCUAGUGAAUUGGAACGUCAGACAACCAUAUUUUGAUGUUCCAAUCUCUCAUCAAAUUCAACAAUCUAGUCAAGAAGCAUUUUGGAACAAUUAUGCAGUAACAAGGGGUCUGAAUCAAUCACACAAUGGUAUAAAUGUUUUGGAUAAAUUAGGAAAACAUAGUUUUCCUGAAAAGAUUCUAACAAGAUCACAAGGACUGAACACACUUAAAGCUGUGAAAUUUGGUUCAGUGGGAGGAAACGAAUCACUUGCCAAUCUCAAUCAGAAUGGAAAAGUCAUAUCAAAUGGUCACCUCCGCCAUAACUUAUCUACUCCCGGUGCUGGAUACUUUCCAUUUCCAUUAGAUCAUUUGAGCUCAUGGAAUUUGUCUGAUGAUAUCACUGAUCUUAAAAAUACUAAUCUUAGGCCCCAACCUCAGAAAUAUAACUCUGUGGAUGAAGUCACUGGCAGAGUAUAUCUCAUGGCAAAAGACCAACAUGGUUGCCGCUUCUUGCAAAGAAAAUUUUCUGAGGGCACUCCACAAGAUGUUGAAAAGAUUUUUUUUGAGAUCAUUGAUCAUAUCAUUGAGCUCAUGACAGACCCCUUUGGGAAUUACCUUGUUCAGAAGUUGCUUGAAGUGUGCAAUGAAGAUCAGCGAAUGCAAAUACUUUGUGCCAUCACUAGAAAAGCUGGGGAACUUGUUAGGAUUUCAUGUGACAUGCAUGGGACUCGGGCUGUUCAGAAGGUAAUUGAAACCCUUAAAACUCCAGAGCAGUUUUCCAUGGUUGUCUCCUCAUUGAAGUCCGGUAUAGUGACUUUGAUAAAAAAUAUGAAUGGUAACCAUGUUGCACAGCACUGCUUGCAGUAUUUAACUCCUGAGUACAGUGAGUUCCUUUUUGAAGCUGCAACUACUAACUGUGUUGAACUUGCUACUGAUCGCCAUGGCUGUUGUGUACUUCAAAAAUGCCUUAGCUAUUCUGAGGGUGAGCAAAGACGCAGUUUAAUAUGUGAGAUCACAUCAAAUGCUCUAAUUCUUUCCCAAGAUCCAUUUGGGUACUACACCUCUCUUCGGCCCCCUCUCUUUUACUGUGCUUUCCUGUGAUCCUACCUGUACGAGAAAAGUUGCAUGUUUUUUCAUCCGUUUCACUUGUUCAUGGAAGAUGUUUGGAUGUGGCACUGACAAACAUGAUUUUGAAGUACAGAUAAAACCUUGUAGAUGAAGAAAAAAAAAAAAAAGUUAUGUUGCCAACCCCAUACCCAUGAGUGGAAACUUUUGCUAAAGCUGGCUUAUAUUAAGAAAGAAUACUGAAAUUUCUUGAUAAAAUUGUGUUUAUAUUUUCUUACCCAUCAUGUUAAUUUUGAGGACGAGAGUAUUGUAUGCGAGAAAUUAUUGUGGAACGUCACCAAGUCAUCUUUAGUUGAUAAAAGGACCUAUACUGUAAACUUUCAUUAGUGGAAAGAAAGGGCUUUUGUUUCAUCUCUCAUGAUUGUUGCUACCAAUAAGAUUUCCCAGAACCUGGUGAGACAUUCCCAACUUUUGUUUGGUUUUCACACUUCUAUGUUUUUGGAAUGUUGUGGCUGUGCAAUAAGAAUCAACAUUUUGGAUCGAGGAUUUGGUUUUAGCAGCUCACCUCCUCUGUUUGUAGAAAUCUUCUCAAAUCUUCAUGGUGAAUGAGGAAAUGCUAGACCAAACAGCAUUUGUUACAUUGCAUCUUGAAGAUGGUUUGAAUAGUGUAAUUUGCUUGUAACAUUUGAGCUUUGAAAUCUCAAUUUCAUCUUGCAGGAACUAUGUUGUCCAAUUUGUCUUUGAGCUUCGGCUUCCUUGGGCAACAGCUGAUAUAUUUGAUCAGCUGGACGGUAAAUAUGGGGACUUAUCUAUGCAGAAAUAUAGCAGUAAUGUGGUAGAGAAAUGCCUAAAAUCUGCAAGUGAGGAUCGCCGCACUCGUAUCAUCCAAGAGCUGAUAAAUAAUGCUCGCUUGGAUCAAGUCAUGCAAGAUCCUUAUGGAAAUUAUGUCAUUCAAGCAGCACUUCAUCGAUCAAAGGGAGCUCUUCAUGCUGCAUUGGUAGAGGCCAUAAGACCCCAUGUACCUGUGCUUCGAACUAGUCCAUAUGGGAAGAAAGUCCUGUCUAGUAAUAGUUUGAAGAAGUAACCUGUCGGUAUGCUCACACAACUCUUUUUCCUUGACAUCUCAUAUAUUCUGUUUGACCAUUUAUAGUUUUCCUUCUUAAGGGACCAAUAUAGGCUUUGCCUUAAGUUCCUCAAGAAAUUCUUUAAAUUAUGUAAUAAGCAGGGAAAGAAAAGCUCUGAACUUGGCUUUAUGGCUUUGGUAUUUUUGAAGCUUAGACCUGGAAAGAAUAUGGCGAAAAGAUGCCUCCUUUUAACAGCUUAUCUGAAGCGAUGAAAGGGGAAAUUUCGGAGGUUAUUUUUUUGCUUCUGUUUUAUUCAACUCUCUUCUUAGGCAUUUUAAGAGCAAAUGCUGCUUAACAGGGGAUCCAUAUGAUUGUAGAUCAACAUUUUUUGUUUCUUCUCGCU